UUAAUUGAAACCAAAAAGAGGUGAAUCACUGUUAAUGAUUUAAUUGGCAAUUACGCCCAAUUAAA
rnacentral:tRNA from 1 species